rnacentral:rRNA from 1 species
CGUGUAGGCGGUCUUAUCGGUCAGAUGUGAAAGCCCAGGGCUCAACCCUGGACGUGCAUUUGAAACAGUAAGACUUGAGUACGGUAGAGGAAAGCGGAAUUCCUGGUGUAGAGGUGAAAUUCGUAGAUAUCAGGAGGAACACCGAUGGCGAAGGCAGCUUUCUGGACCGAAACUGACGCUGAUGCGCGAAGGCGUGGGUAGCGAACAGGAUUAGAUACCCUGGUAGUCC